GGCCGCUUGGCGUAGAGGUAUCGCGCUUGCUUUGGGUUAAGUCUUCCAGAAUGCAAGAGGUCACGAGUUCGAUCCUCGUAGCGGCCC